rnacentral:rRNA from 1 species
GACGAACCGUGCGAACGUUGUUCGGAAUCACUGGGCUUAAAGGGCGCGUAGGCGGGUUGCCGCGUCCGGGGUGAAAUCCCACGGCUCAACCGUGGAACGGCCUCGGAUACGGGCGACCUCGAGGGGGGUAGGGGCAUCUGGAACUGUGAGUGGAGCGGUGAAAUGCGUUGAUAUUCACAGGAACUCCGGUGGCGAAGGCGAGGUGCUGGACCCCAUCUGACGCUGAGGCGCGAAAGCCAGGGGAGCGAACGGG